rnacentral:lncRNA from 1 species
UGAUAUGUAUACUCCUUUUGUAUGGUAGUUGAUGAGCUUUACUCAGGGCACAUACAUAAUAGAACUUGUUUUUCCUGUCAACUACCUCCUUUAUUAGCAAAUUUGAUUUGUGCUUGUCCAUAACUCCAGAACAUGGAUGGCCUAGUCUGCUAUGACAAAUAGCUUCAGUAAUCCUUACUCCAUAGAAUGCUUCUAUAUCUGGAUGUAUGUGAUACAACCCACCUUCACUAAGCCCAGUAAACCAUAUCUCUAUAGUACUGGGAUCCUUCACAGUGCAAACAUCAUGA